GGUGUCGUCUACUUUGGGCAUAGUAUGCACGACAGGAGGUGGGACGGCAAAGACCGGGCUAGAUGCCGGCAGAGAAGCAAAGGUGGGUGUAGGACCCUCAAGCAUGAAGUUGGGAGGCAUCCCCCAAGGAAACCCGACUGGCAUAGCAGUUGGUGCAAAGUGGGCGCUGGCUGCAGGCACGGUUGAAGAGGCAAUCUCAGAGAUA
rnacentral:lncRNA from 1 species